AACGAACGCUGGCGGCAUGCCUAACACAUGCAAGUCGAACGAGACCUUCGGGUCUAGUGGCGCACGGGUGCGUAACGCGUGGGAACCUGCCCUUAGGUUCGGAAUAACUCCCCGAAAGGGGUGCUAAUACCGGCUAAUGUCUUCGGACCAAAGAUUUAUCGCCUUUGGAUGGGCCCGCGUUGGAUUAGCUAGUUGGUAGGGUAAAAGCCUACCAAGGCGACGAUCCAUAGCUGGUCUGAGAGGAUGAUCAGCCACACUGGGACUGAGACACGGCCCAGACUCCUACGGGAGGCAGCAGUGGGGAAUAUUGGACAAGGGGCGAAAGCCUGAUCCAGCAAUGCCGCGUGAGUGAUGAAGGCCUUAGGGUUGUAAAGCUCUUUUACCCGGGAUGAUAAUGACAGUACCGGGAGAAUAAGCUCCGGCUAACUCCGUG
rnacentral:rRNA from 1 species